rnacentral:lncRNA from 1 species
GGACAAUUGGGAAUGUGAAGAAAGAAUAUUGAGGCCUACGUUAGCUCACUGGCUUAGAGAUUAACAUCAAGUUUCUUACAUUGAAUGACUUGGCUGCAUUUUGUUUUUGCAGCAGUACCUGACACGUCUACUUAUCAAUAUGAUGAAUCAUCAGGAUAUUAUUAUGAUCCUACAACAGGGCUCUACUAUGACCCUAACUCACAGGUAAGUGCUAUUUCCCUCCUUAAUAUCACUAGAAAAAACUUGGUUCAGGGCAUGAGAUGAAAUAUUCCCUAAAAGGAUUGUGUGACCCAGAUAAGUUGUAAGAUUUUUCUUUCAUUGCUACAAAUAAAUAAUUUUCAUUUCAGGACUUAGGGUUAAAAAAAUAUUUACAGUCCUAAUGGGAUGCCUCAGUGGGUAAAAGUACUUGCCAUGCAAGCCUGACAACCUGAAUUUGAUCCCUAGAACCAAGGCGGCAAAAGAAAGCCAGCUUCCCCAUACAUGCCCCAUUCACACACCACACAUACACAUUGCACACAGUACUGGUAAAAUGUUCUGAGGUGAGCUAGGGCAUGGGCUGAGCAUUACACGCUACCUUUGCACAAACCUACUCAAAUCCCAGCGCCAACAUGGCAGCUCACACUGCCCAUUCUUCCAGUUCUAGGGUAUUUGAUGGCCUCUUGUGGCCUCCAUGGGCACCACGCACAAACAUGGAGGAGCAGCAUGUGUAUGCAUUCAGGAGGCAAAACACUCUUACACAUAUAAUAGGUUUUAUUGUGGGUUUUUUUUCCCCCAUUGUUUUGAGGUACAUUGUAUAUACAUAAAAGUGUAUAUGAGUUGUGUAUGUGUUUGAGUUCUUGUAAAUUUUUUUUAGGUUUAUUUUGUGUGUGUUUUGUCUAUGUUUAUAUCUGUUCACUCUGUGUGUACAGUGUCCAUUGAGGCUACAAUAGGGCAGUGGAUCCCCUGGGACUGGAGUUAGAAUAGAUGGUUGUUAACCACUGUGUGGGUGCUAGGAAUUGAAUCUUAAUGUUUACAUGGAUGGAUGCAUGCAUAAGCAAACACACACACACACACCACUGAUAACAUUCCCAGCAUAUCUGCAUAGUCCUCAUUCCUGCUGCCAAUUAGUAUCCUCCCUCUUCAGCAUCCAGUGUUUUGAUUCUAUUUUUAGAGGAAGUUUUAUCAAAUUAAGAUGUUGUGCUAGCCAAGUGAUGGUGGCACACACCCUUGAUCCCAGUAGUUAGGAACAGAGGCAGGUGGUCACCGAGUUCCAGAGCAGCCUGAUCUACAGGAGUGGUGAUACAAACCUCUAAUAACCCCAGUACUUGGUGGAUAGAGAAAGGCUGUGAGUUUGACCCCAAUCUACAUGGCAAGUUCUAGGCAGCCAGUGAGCUACAAAGUCAGGCCCUGUC